rnacentral:lncRNA from 1 species
AUGGGAAAGGACUCACUUGAGAAUGCACUUUGUUCUUACAGGUCCCAUUUCAAUACAUACUAUGAUGCGUCCAGAGGUAAAUCUGUUUCAUCGUCGUUUGGUUUACUUUCCUGUGAGUCUGAUCAAUGGAGACACAGGACAGCCAUGCACAGUAGUCCUCUCAGGUCUAUUUCUAAAUGUUAUCUGAAGGAGAACAAAAGAGCUAGAGGGAUCCUGUUAGCAGUGACCUGCAGUCUCUACUCUACAUUGCACUAUAGCAGUCUGCCAGUUUCCUCCAGGGACAGACUAAGAGAAGUGAAACAACAACAACAACAACAAAACAACAGAUGUAUAUACCACAAAGCUUUGAAGGUCUUCUGGAGUAAUGUUAAAGACUUUCACAACAGACAAUGAACUUUUCAGCGAGCUUGUUGGCGAGACUCAACAUCCAUUAUGUAUGGAAGCCAAUUUGUGCCAAGUAGACAAUGAAACUCAAGAUAGAAGCAACUAGGGAUUUAUUCCUGGAUCUGAUGACAGCUACAUCUACCAGCUAUCAAGCGAAUUUAGAUUUAGGGAUGGAUAUGACUCUGCAGCUUGCACCGAAGUUAUACCAGAUUCUCUGUAGUGCCAUCUGGUGACAGCUGGCUGCCUGGAAAUUUGAAACUGGGCUAUUAAAUAUUCAUAUAGCAUUUCAAGAUGAGUCUGAGAAACAUUUUUAGAUAGUGCUAUUCUUUGAAAAAGCUGAAGAGUGGAAAAAAAAAGAGAGAGAUUAUUGAUUAUAUUAGAAGUUGGAGAAAUGAUUUGUGUACUUCAUGAAAAACAGAAUUGCAGGGAAAAGAACUUAGUAACAUUUUGUUUAAUUGCAUACCAAGACCUAUCUUAAAAUAGACUCAUUAAACUUGCCACAGCAAGUACACUAAGAGAAGUAAAUAUCAGGUUCAUGAUGCUCAAAACUGCUGUUAAUGCGCUAACACUGCAUAAGGUCUGCACAACAAAGGCAGGGACAGAAUCCAACUCCCUUGAUCAACAUUCAUUUGUCUUAAUCUCUAAACUUUUCAACUACCUUUUCCCUUUGUUGUUUUCAGCUUCAUUCACUGAAUUCAUUGGAAGUCUGGCAAGGCUUUAAACACCCUCUCCUGCAAUAUUCUUGUAUCUGGGUUAGGUUGUUAUGGGUGCAGGAACUAACAAAUUGGGGAGCAGCUUUGAUGGAAAAGAUAUGGAGGUCCUGGUGUACAGCAAGCUUAUCAUGAGCCAGCUGCAUGGCCUGACAGCAAUGAAGGUCAGCAGCAUCCUGGACAUCACUAACACAAGCACAGAUCAAGAGAAGUGACUACUCAGCUCUAUAUAGAACUUGCUAGAGCACACCUAGAAUACUACGGCAUACAGUUUUGGAAAGUAAGUACAAAGGAUGUUU